AUUGAACGCUGGCGGCAGGCCUAACACAUGCAAGUCGAACGGUAACAGAAAGCAGCUUGCUGCUUUGCUGACGAGUGGCGGACGGGUGAGUAAUGUCUGGGAAACUGCCUGAUGGAGGGGGAUAACUACUGGAAACGGUAGCUAAUACCGCAUAACGUCGCAAGACCAAAGAGGGGGACCUUCGGGCCUCUUGCCAUCGGAUGUGCCCAGAUGGGAUUAGCUAGUAGGUGGGGUAACGGCUCACCUAGGCGACGAUCCCUAGCUGGUCUGAGAGGAUGACCAGCCACACUGGAACUGCGCCACGGUCCAGACUCCUACGGGAGGCAGCAGUGGGGAAUAUUGCACAAUGGGCGCAAGCCUGAUGCAGCCAUGCCGCGUGUAUGAAGAAGGCCUUCGGGUUGUAAAGUACUUUCAGCGGGGAGGAAGGGAGUAAAGUUAAUACCUUUGCUCAUUGACGUUACCCGCAGAAGAAGCACCGGCUAACUCCGUG
rnacentral:rRNA from 1 species